rnacentral:tRNA from 1 species
GUGGCGGCUCAGAGGUAGAGUGCUUGCCUGGCACAAGUGAGGCCCUGGGUUCAAUUCUCAGCACCACA